UCGGAUAUGGUGUAAUGGUUAACAUUGCCGCCUCUCAUUCAUGUUCGAAGGCGCGUGCGCGGCAGCUCGGGGUUCGAUUCCCCGUAUCCGAA